rnacentral:rRNA from 1 species
AUAUCAAUAAGCGGAGGAAAAGAAACCAACAGGGAUUGCCCUAGUAACGGCGAGUGAAGCGGCAACAGCUCAAAUUUGAAAUCUGGCCCUCGGGUCCGAGUUGUAAUUUGUAGAGGAUGCUUUGGGUGCGGUGCCUUCCGAGUUCCUUGGAACAGGACGCCUUAGAGGGUGAGAGCCCCGUACGGUUGGACACCAAGCCUAUGUAAAGCUCCUUCGACGAGUCGAGUAGUUUGGGAAUGCUGCUCUAAAUGGGAGGUAAAUUUCUUCUAAAGCUAAAUACCGGCCAGAGACCGAUAGCGCACAAGUAGAGUGAUCGAAAGAUGAAAAGUACUUUGAAAAGAGGGUUAAAUAGCACGUGAAAUUGUUGAAAGGGAAGCGUUUAUGACCAGACCUUUGCCUGGCGGAUCAUCCGGUGUUCUUCACCGGUGCACUUCGCCUGGCUCAGGCCAGCAUCGAUUUCGGCAGGGGGAUAAAGGCCAUGGGAACGUAGCUCUCUUCGGGGAGUGUUAUAGCCCUAGGUGUAAUACCUCUGCGGGGAUCGAGGUUCGCGCUUCUGCAAGGAUGCUGGCGUAAUGGUCAUCAACGACCCGUCUUGAAACACGGACCAAGGAGUCGAACAUUUAUGCGAGUGUUUGGGUGUUAAACCCUCACGCGUAAUGAAAGUGAACGGAGGUGAGAGCCCCUUUAGGGGUGCAUCAUCGACCGAUCCUGAUGUCUUCGGAUGGAUUUGAGUAAGAGCAUAACUGUUCGGACCCGAAAGAUGGUGAACUAUGCGUGGAUAGGGUGAAGCCAGAGGAAACUCUGGUGGAGGCUCGCAGCGGUUCUGACGUGCAAAUCGAUCGUCAAAUCUGCGCAUGGGGGCGAAAGUACGUUUUAUUCCCCUCCUUUUUUUAUGUUAUAUUUUUUAAAUGGACAGCAAUGCUAACGAAUUUUGUUACAGGACUUAUCGAACCAUCUAGUAGCUGGUUACCGCCAGCAAUGCUAACGAAUUUUGUUACAGGACUUAUCGAACCAUCUAGUAGCUGGUUACCGCC